GUGAGGAAUAUUGCGCAAUGGAGGCAACUCUGACGCAGCCAUGCCGCGUGCAGGAAGAAGGCGCUACGCGUUGUAAACUGCUUUUAACCGGGAAGAAACCCCAGGACGUGUCCUGGGUUGACGGUACCGGAGGAAUAAGCACCGGCUAACUUCGUGCCAACAGCCGCGGUAAUACGAAGGGUGCAAGCGUUAUCCGGAUUCAUUGGGUUUAAAGGGUGCGUAGGCGGAGCGUUAAGUCAGUGGUGAAAUCCUGCAGCUUAACUGUAGACUUGCCAUUGAUACUGGCGCUCUUGAGUGCGCUUGAAGUGGGCGGAAUGUGCCGUGUAGCGGUGAAAUGCUUAGAUAUGGCACAGAACACCAAUUGCGAAGGCAGCUCACUAAGGCGAUACUGACGCUGAGGCACGAAAGCGUGGGGAUCGAACAGGAUUAGAAACCCUAGUAGUCC
rnacentral:rRNA from 1 species